UACGUAGGGGGCAAGCGUUAUCCGGAAUUACUGGGUGUAAAGGGAGCGUAGACGGUAAUGUAAGUCUGGAGUGAAAGGCGGGGGCCCAACCCCCGGACUGCUCUGGAAACUAUGUUACUAGAGUGCAGGAGAGGUAAGCGGAAUUCCUAGUGUAGCGGUGAAAUGCGUAGAUAUUAGGAGGAACACCAGUGGCGAAGGCGGCUUACUUGACUGUAACUGACGUUGAGGCUCGAAAGCGUGGGGAGCAAACAGG
rnacentral:rRNA from 1 species